rnacentral:tRNA from 1 species
GCUAGUGUAGCUUAAGCAAAGCAUGACACUGAAGAUGUCAAGAUAGACCCUGAAAAGUCUCACCAGCA